GAUGAACGCUGGCGGCGUGCCUAAUACAUGCAAGUCGAGCGAACAGACGAGGAGCUUGCUCCUUUGACGUUAGCGGCGGACGGGUGAGUAACACGUGGGUAACCUACCUAUAAGACUGGGAUAACUUCGGGAAACCGGAGCUAAUACCGGAUAAUAUUUCGAACCGCAUGGUUCGAUAGUGAAAGAUGGCUUUGCUAUCACUUAUAGAUGGACCUGCGCCGUAUUAGCUAGUUGGUAAGGUAACGGCUUACCAAGGCAACGAUACGUAGCCGACCUGAGAGGGUGAUCGGCCACACUGGAACUGAGACACGGUCCAGACUCCUACGGGAGGCAGCAGUAGGGAAUCUUCCGCAAUGGGCGAAAGCCUGACGGAGCAACGCCGCGUGAGUGAUGAAGGUCUUCGGAUCGUAAAACUCUGUUGUUAGGGAAGAACAAACGUGUAAGUAACUGUGCACGUCUUGACGGUACCUAAUCAGAAAGCCACGGCUAACUACGCG
rnacentral:rRNA from 1 species